rnacentral:sRNA from 1 species
GGUGAUUUCAGAAAGUAUGGAUAUACUCUUCAGAAUAAGAGGAGGCCUUGAUUUGGCUUUUCAGCUAGCUACUCCUAAUGAAAUUUUUCUCAAGAAGGCACUGAAACAUGUGUUGAGUGACCUGUCAACUAAGCUGUCUUCAAACGCCCUUGUGUUCAGAAUUUGCCACAGUUCAGUGUAUAUAUGGCCUAGCAGUGACAUAAACACCAUUCCUGGAGAACUGACUGAUGCUUCUGCUUGUAAGAACAUACUGCGCUUUAUUCAGUGAGUAUGUUUGAAGAUUUCUAGAAAUGUUUUCAAAACAUCAUUUCAUAGUAUAAAUGUCUGUGUAUUAAAAAUUUAGAUUUGAGCCAGAAGAAGAUAUAAAACGAAAAUUCAUGAGAAAGAAGGACAAAAAGUUAUCAGACAUGCUGUAACGCCCAUCAUUGAAAGGGAAAGUGGAGGAC